rnacentral:rRNA from 1 species
AACGAACGCUGGCGGCAUGCCUAACACAUGCGAGUCGAACGAGACCUUCGGGUCUAGUGGCGCACGGGUGCGUAACGCGUGGGAACCUGCCCUUAGGUUCGGAAUAACUCCCCGAAAGGGGUGCUAAUACCGGAUAAUGUCUUCGGACCAAAGAUUUAUCGCCUUUGGAUGGGCCCGCGUUGGAUUAGCUAGUUGGUAGGGUAAAAGCCUACCAAGGCGACGAUCCAUAGCUGGUCUGAGAGGAUGAUCAACCACACUGGGACUGAGACACGGCCCAGACUCCUACGGGAGGCAGCAGUGGGGAAUAUUGGACAAUGGGCGAAAGCCUGAUCCAGCAAUGCCGCGUGAGUGAUGAAGGCCUUAGGGUUGUAAAGCUCUUUUACCCGGGAUGAUAAUGACAGUACCGGGAGAAUAAGCUCCGGCUAACUCCGUG